rnacentral:rRNA from 1 species
AUGAGAACGAAAAUAUGCUCCCAAACAAUGCUUCAGAUCCUAAACAGGUGCAGGUUGUUCAAGCAAUUUACGAUGUCGGGGAAGCAAGAACUCAUGGUUUACGGAGGUCUAUAUUUGAGAGGUUUGACCGUGACCGAAGUGGAUUGGGACAUGAGCAAAGCAGUCGAAUAUGACAACUUUAUUGAGUGUUGCCUUACAGUAAAGGUAUUUUCCAUCAUUAUACUACAGAAAGAAAUAGAUUAUAGUUUGGUGCGCUAUUGCUAUGUCCGCCUCACCUUUCUACUCGGCAGCAUAUUGCCCCGGCCUGCGGGCACUGUCAGCUUGAUGGAUGAUGAUGAUUUAAUAGUCAAGGGGCUUCCACAGCUCUCUGCCAUCUGUGUUACCAUUAGCAGAAGGUAUAUGCUCGAAGAAGCUAUCAAGCGGAUCGGUGGUACAAUUCAUGCAUUCAAACUUACUGAUGAUGAUGACACCACAGGAAUGGCAUCAGUGAAAAUCAAUCUCCAGCCCCACAGCAAAAGCAUGUUGCCAACCCAAUAG